GACGAACGCUGGCGGCGUGCUUAACACAUGCAAGUCGAACGGAAAGGCCCUGCUUUUGUGGGGUGCUCGAGUGGCGAACGGGUGAGUAACACGUGAGUAACCUGCCCUUGAUUUUGGGAUAACUUCAGGAAACUGGGGCUAAUACCGGAUAGGAGCUCCUGUUGCAUGGUGGGGGUUGGAAAGUUUCGGCGGUAGGGGAUGGACUCGCGGCUUAUCAGCUUGUUGGUGGGGUAGUGGCUUACCAAGGCUUUGACGGGUAGCCGGCCUGAGAGGGUGACCGGCCACAUUGGGACUGAGAUACGGCCCAGACUCCAACGGGAGGCAGCAGUGGGGAAUAUUGCACAGUGGGCGGGAGCCUGAGGCAGCAGCGCCGGGUUCGGGAUGACGGCCUUCGGGUUGUAAACCGCUUUCGCCUGUGACGAAGCGGGAGUGACGGUAAUGGGUAAAGAAGCACCGGCUAACUACGUG
rnacentral:rRNA from 1 species